rnacentral:lncRNA from 1 species
CGGGCUCCUCCCACCCCCAGACGAUGGAGCGCCAUCUGAGACCGUAGGCCGUGUGGACGGCGAGGACUUCGUGGACUAUCCCGGAGUGUAGAGAGUAGCGCUUGUUAGGCUACAUUUUGGUAGGCUUAGGACCUAGGUUAUAUUUUGGGAUGACUGUAUGUUUUAUACAUUAUACUCAGACAUGUUAGUGCCGUUGGGCCUUAUGAUAUAUUCGGUUCAUGACUCGUGUCUUUUUGGUUGAUGAACUUGCUAUAUCCGUUGUAUGUAAAUUAUUCAGGUACACACUUUGCUUCGAGGAAGCCCUGUAAUAUAAUGUGUUGAUGUUAUAUUUAUUUUCUAUUGAAUGACGAAUUGCCGAGAUAGCUGCGGGCGUUCACGCGCGCCAUUUUAUUUAAGCGUGUUGAUUUUUUUUAAAAAAAUAAUAAUACCCCUUUUUAUGCUUUGAAAAACGGGGUGUUACAAGAAGCCGACCAACGUCCUCGACAUAAAUGUCAUCGGCGACAAAAACUGUUGGAUGACCCCCGUUUACAACUUCCUCGCGAAUGGAACCCUUCCGGCCGACCAGAAGGAAGCAGCAAUCGUUAGACGUCGAGCAUGCGCCUACGUUAUUCUCGACGGAAAGUUAUACAGG